rnacentral:rRNA from 1 species
GAUGAACGCUGGCGGCGUGCCUAAUACAUGCAAGUCGAGCGAACAGACGAGGAGCUUUCUCCUCUGACGUUAGCGGCGGACGGGUGAGUAACACGUGGAUAACCUACCUAUAAGACUGGGAUAACUUCGGGAAACCGGAGCUAAUACCGGAUAAUAUAUUGAACCGCAUGGUUCAAUAGUGAAAGACGGUUUUGCUGUCACUUAUAGAUGGAUCCGCGCCGCAUUAGCUAGUUGGUAAGGUAACGGCUUACCAAGGCAACGAUGCGUAGCCGACCUGAGAGGGUCGUCGGCCACCCUGGAAUUGAGACACGCUCCAGACUCCUACGGGAGGCAGCAGUAGGGACUCUUCCGCAAUGGGGCAGAGCCUGACGGAGCAACGCCGCGUGAGUGCUGAAGGUCUUCGGAUCGUAAAACUCUGUUAUUAGGGAAGAACAAAUGUGUAAGUAACUAUGCACGUCUUGACGGUACCUAAUCAGAAAGCCCCGGCUAACUACGUG